rnacentral:rRNA from 1 species
AGCUUAAUGAUAUUUUAUAUUAAGUGAGUUCUGCUCAAUGAUUUUAUAUUAAAUAGCCGCAGUACUUUGACUGUGCGAAGGUAGCAUAAUAAGUUGGCUUAUAAUUGAAGUCGGGAAUGAAUGAAUUAAUGGAUAUAAACUGUCUUAAGUAAAUAUUAAUUAAUUUUCUAAGUAAGUGAAAAUUCUUACGGGGUGUUUUAUUAGACGAGAAGACCCUUGAAAUUUUAAUAAUAUAAUAUGAUUAAUAUUAAUAAUUUUUAUUGGGGCGGUAAAUUUACAAAUAUAACUAAAUUUUUAAAUAUAAUAUAUAUUACGAAUUUUAUUAAUAAAAAGUAAAUUACUCAAGGGAUAACAGCAUAAUUUAUAAAUAAGUUUGUGACCUCGAUGUUGGACUAGGGGAACUUAAGCUUAGAAGGCUUAAAGUUAGGUUCUGUUCGAACUUUUUUUCCUACAUG